UUUUCCAUCCAUCACCAAGUUAACGAUUAACAUCUUUAAACUUCAAUCUAGGAUUCUAGAGGUUCUUAUAAUAUCAUGUCAUAAUGGCUCUUCCUCUCAAAAGUUCUUUUCCUUUGUGACAAGCACAGAAAAUCGACUAUCAGAGGAUCAAAAAGCCAAAGCUCUUUUGGAAUUCGGCAGCCGCUCCAUUAACAUCCUAUUUCCAGAUUGAGCACUUGCCGAAGGGUUUGAUUUCGCCAUCAGCAAACAUGCCAUACUUCGGUGGAAUGCUAAUAAAAACAGGCUAUUGGUUCGAUUCUUGCUACUCUUGAGAGGAGAUGCUUCAACGGAAGCGGCUGUGACCAAAACUUUUGCUGCGCUGAUUACUGCUUUAAUGUGCUCAAAUUUACCGAAAUUGCUUUUUAUUUCCUUGCAAUCAUAGAAGGAAAAGCUAAUGAAGGAUCGAGUUUCCGCAAAUCCCUUGCAGGAAUGCGGAAUUGAUGCAAAAUAUCAUAUUUUUUUUAUCUCCAGAAGACUAGCUUCCCCAUUACUGUCUAAUGAGAUCCAGCUGCUAGUUCUUGAACUGUUAGUGUCUAAUGAGAAACACUGGCAUUUAUGUAGUGUGAAAUUAGUCCUAGGGAGAUGGUAGACUUCCACUUGAAGAUUCUUAGGAGCAAAAACUAGGUCAUUUCCACCGAAGAAGAUAAUUCUUUUAGUUUUUGGAACAAACCUAUCGGAGAAAAUAACAUCAUGGGUCUUUAUAAUUUCAGAUGCCAUCUCUGCAGAUGAAACUACAAGAAUAGGUUUAAGAUUAACCAUGGAUCUUAGAUCAAGAAAAAGAGUCGACAUAGAGAUAUAUCUUGAGGUAUUGAUGUAAACCAAAGUCUCUCUUCAUUUGGAAUACAGUUAUUUUUCUCCUUGCGUUAUUGUACUUGGAGAGCAUCAUAUAAAUUCAGUCUUUAAACUCUGCAUGGAUGAUCAAUACAAAAAUUAUAAAUUUACAGAGCUCAAACACAAAAUACAAAAGAUUUCUUCUAACAAAUAUUCAACAAGUGUACUUCAUUCUUGAGUUCUCUGGUUUGUUCAGUGAAAGAACUACUAAAAAGAAUAAGUUACUAAAACACUCAGCAAAGUUAAUGAACAUAUACCAAACGACGUCAAUUCUUGCACCAAUCCCGACCAUCCCACUGUUGAUACAACUUCCA